rnacentral:RNase_P_RNA from 1 species
CGACCGGGUCGGACAGUCGCGUGAACAGUGCCGAAAGGCCGUUCAUGAGGAAAGUCCGGGCUCCACAGGGCAAGGAUAACGGGUAACGCCCGCCCAAGGCGACUUGCGGAAAAGUGCAACAGAGAUAUACCGCCUUUUCGGUGCUUGCACCGACGAGGUAAGGGUGGAAAGGCGAGGUAAGAGCUCACCCAUCCCAUGGAGACAUGGCGAUGCUGUAAACUCUAUCCGGAGCAACACCGCAGAGGGAACAUUAGGUUGGCCCGACCGUUCCCGUAAGGUGGCUUGAACCCACGGGCAACCGUGGGUCUAGAUAGAUGACUGUCGAUUACAGAACCCGGCUUAUAGACCCGAUCGCACC